UUUGAAGCAGAUAAAUAUGUAAAAUUAGUGUUAAGGUUUGAGACCCAUUGCAAAACCCCUGAUUUGCGAAUGCUGAAACGGCACUCCCUGGCCUCCCCUAAUGAUCCUCUUGAAUCCUCUAGUGGAAGGUUACUGUCCGGGGAAGCUGACGGUCAUGCCGUCCCGUCGAGGAUGUUCUUCUGAUAGAAACUGCUCUGGAGGACACAAAUGCUGUUAAUUUGACUGUGGGCCUUUUUGCAUUCUGCCUGUUUCCACAAAGCCAGGAGAGUGUCCACCCCAAUCAUCUGGAAGAUUGUGUACCAGGUCCUGUCGGAGUGACUCUAACUGUCCCAACAAUAAGAAGUGCUGCAGCAAUGGAUGUGGACGUUACUGUAAUGCUCCAUAUCCAGUGAAGCCGGGUCAGUGUCCCGACCCAAAGAACAUUCCACUGUGUGCUGAAAGCUGUUUCCAUGAUGGCCAGUGUCCUGCCACACAGAAAUGUUGCCCAACCACAAGAGGCGGUC